UCGAGAAUCUUCGGCAAUGAGCGCAAGCUUGACCGAGCGACGCCGCGUGCGGGAUGAAGGCCCUCGGGUUGUAAACCGCUGUCGUAGGGGAGGAAAUCAACGAGGGUACUCUCUCGUAGUUGACCUAUCCUAGGAGGAAGGACGGGCUAAGUUCGUGCCAGCAGCCGCGGUAAUACGAACCGUCCAAACGUUAUUCGGAAUUACUGGGCUUAAAGGGUUUGUAGGCGGCCUUGCAAGUGGGGUGUGAAAUCCCUCGGCUCAACCGAGGAAUAGCGCUCCAAACUGCAUGGCUUGAGGGAGACAGGGGUAAGCGGAACUGAUGGUGGAGCGGUGAAAUGCGUUGAUAUCAUCAGGAACACCGGUGGCGAAAGCGGCUUACUGGGUCUCUUCUGACGCUGAGAAACGAAAGCUAGGGUAGCGAACGG
rnacentral:rRNA from 1 species